AGGAAGGAGGGAGAUCAGAGAGAAGGCUGACACGAUAAUCCAGCCGGGUUAUUAUGAGAGCCUGUAACGGCACUGACCCAGGAAAAGUCUUACUGAUUGCUAAAGCCUGCAGACUUCACGAAGCAGGAAGUCGAACAAAACACCUUCACAUCAAGAGGUUCCUGUGACAUUUUUGGCACCAAGGUGACAAAUGAACACCUUCAGAAAAGUACUAUUAGAUUAUUCUCUUCACGGGCUCUAUAACGAACAACUCCCUGUGCUGAGAAAGGUCUUAGGGCACAGCACAAUAAAUUCAACAAAAAUCCUCAGUGAAAUCUGAAAGAAUUACUUAUGAAUGAACUACUGAAGUCACUUAAAAUCAAGUCGUCUCAGGCUUUGGAUUUUGCUAUGAUUCUUCCAAUAAACACACCUGCAAAUGCCAUGGAGGUCA